UACAGAGGUCCCAAGCGUUGUUCGGAUUCACUGGGCGUAAAGGGUGCGUAGGCGGUCGGGUAAGUCUGAUGUGAAAUCUCACAGCUUAACUGUGAAACUGCAUUGAAUACUAUCCGGCUAGAGGAAUGGAGGGGAGACUGGAAUACUUGGUGUAGCAGUGAAAUGCGUAGAUAUCAAGUGGAACACCAGUGGCGAAGGCGAGUCUCUGGACAUUUCCUGACGCUGAGGCACGAAAGCCAGGGGAGCAAACAGG
rnacentral:rRNA from 1 species